rnacentral:rRNA from 1 species
UUCGCAAUGCCCGAAAGGGUGACGAUGCGACGCCGCGUGAGCGAAGAAGGCCCUAGGGUUGUAAAGCUCUGUCGAGGGUUAUGAAAUAUAGAUGGGUUAAUACCCCAUUUAUUUGACAAAAGCCCAAAAGGAAGCCACGGCUAACUCUGUGCCAGCAGCCGCGGUAAUACAGGGGUGGCGAGCGUUGUUCGGUAUUAUUGGGCGUAAAGAGCACGUAGGUGGUUUUGUAAGUCAGGUGUGAAAGCCUUCUGUUCAAAGGAAGAACGGCAUCUGAAACUGCAGAUCUUGAGUGUAGGAGGGGAGAGUGGAACUUCUGGUGGAGCGGUGAAAUGCGUAGAUAUCAGAAGGAACGUCGGCGGCGAAAGCGACUCUCUGGCCUAUUACUGACACUGAGGUGCGAAAGUUAGGGGAGCAAACGGGAUUAGAUACCCCGGUAGUCCUAACCGUAAACGAUGGGCACUAAGUAGAGGGGUUUU